GGUGAUUUAGCUCAGUGGUAGAGCGCUUGCCUAGCAAGCACAAGGCCCGGGGUUCGAUCCCCAGCUCUG
rnacentral:tRNA from 1 species